rnacentral:antisense_RNA from 1 species
GUGGGAGCGGGCUUGCUCGCGAAUACGGUAUGUCAGAUGCGUUGAUCGCGACUGACAUACCGCAUUCGCGAGCAAGCCCGCUCCCAC